rnacentral:rRNA from 1 species
AUUGAACGCUGGCGGCAUGCUUUACACAUGCAAGUCGGACGGUAACAGUCCGCAAGGUGCUGACGAGUGGCGAACGGGUGAGUAAUGCAUCGGAACGUGCCCAGUCGUGGGGGAUAACUGCUCGAAAGAGCAGCUAAUACCGCAUACGAACUAUGGAUGAAAGCGGGGGACCGUAAGGCCUCGCGCGAUUGGAGCGGCCGAUGUCAGAUUAGGUAGUUGGUGGGGUAAAGGCUCACCAAGCCAACGAUCUGUAGCUGGUCUGAGAGGACGACCAGCCACACUGGGACUGAGACACGGCCCAGACGCCUACGGGAGGCGGCAGUGGGGAAUUUUGGACAAUGGGGGCAACCCUGAUCCAGCAAUGCCACGUGCAGGAAGAAGGCCUUCGGGUUGUAAACUGCUUUUGUACGGAACGAAACGGUCUGGGUUAAUACCCUGGGCUAAUGACGGUACCGUAAGAAUAAGCACCGGCUAACUACGUGCCAGCAGCCGCGGUAACAC